rnacentral:rRNA from 1 species
UACGGGGGGGGCAAGCGUUGUUCGGAAUUACUGAGCGUAAAGGGCUCGUAGGCGGCCAACUAAGUCAGACGUGAAAUCCCUCGGCUUAACCGGGGAACUGCAUCUGAUACUGGAUGGCUUGAGAUUGGGAGAGGGAUGCGGAAUUCCAGGUGUAGCGGUGAAAUGCGUAGAUAUCUGGAGGAACACCGGUGGCGAAGGCGGCAUCCUGGACCAACACUGACGCUGAGGAGCGAAAGCCAGGGGAGCAAACGGG